AUGUGCAGUUCUGGCGUUGUAUAUUGGACAAGGCGGAGAGAAUGCAUGGUUAAGAGAAACCUCUCCAUAUAUGGUGUGAACCCAACCAUGCGCAUACAACAAGGCCAUCCAGUGGACAUAACAGUCAUUGCUUUGCAUCCGCUUAGCAUGAAACCUUAUAGUGUUAAUGUUUCGAUCAAUGGGGAAUUGCCAAGCGUGACAUUUGGGCAACUUAUAACAGAUCCUAGUGUUAGGCUGAAAGGAGACUUCGCUCUAAUUGCAUGGGAAUCAAGGAUAGCCCCUCAUAAAUCAUUUCCUAAUUAUGUUACAUGUCAUGCUCAGGAUACACAUCAAAGUAGUGCCCUGCCAGGGAGGAAGCGACAAGCAGUGCCAAUAUAA
rnacentral:rRNA from 1 species